GAUGAACGCUGGCGGCGUGCCUAAUACAUGCAAGUCGAGCGAGAGGGCCCGGUGCUUGCACCUGUCACUUUAGCGGCGAACGGGUGAGUAACACGUGGAUAACCUACCUAUCAGAGUGGGAUAACUUUGGGAAACGGAUGCUAAAACCGCAUAAUAUUUUGAACCGCAUGGUUCGAUGAUGAAAGGCGGCGCAAGUUUCUCCUGUUGGUUGGUCCCCGCCGCAUUAGCUAGUUGGUAAGGUAACCGCUUACCAAGGCAACGAUGCGUAGCCGACCUGAGAGGGUGAUCGGCCACAUUGGAACUGAGACACGGCCCAGACUCCUACGGGAGGCAGCAGUAGGGAAUCUUCCGCAAUGGACGCAAGUCUGACGGAGCAACGCCGCGUGAGUGAAGAAGGUUUUCGGAUCGUAAAACUCUGUUGUUAGGGAAGAACAAGUGCUAAAGUAACUGUUAACGUCUUGACGGUACCUAAUCAGAAAGCCACGGCUAACUACGUG
rnacentral:rRNA from 1 species